UACGUAGGGUGCAAGCGUUGUCCGGAAUUAUUGGGCGUAAAGAGCGUGUAGGCGGCCCGACCAGUCCGCUGUGAAAAGUCCAGGGCUCAACCCUGGAAUGCCGGUGGAUACUGUCGGGCUAGAGUCCGGAAUGGGCGAGUGGAAUUCCUGGUGUAGCGGUGAAAUGCGUAGAUAUCAGGAGGAACACCGGUGGUGUAGACGGCUUUCUGGACCGUAACUGACGCUGAGACACGAAAGCGUGGGUAGCAAACAGG
rnacentral:rRNA from 1 species